UACGUAGGGUCCAAGCGUUAAUCGGAAUUACUGGGCGUAAAGCGUGCGCAGGCGGUUGCGUAAGUCAGAUGUGAAAUCCCCGGGCUCAACCUGGGAAUUGCAUUUGAGACUGCACGGCUAGAGUGUGUCAGAGGGGGGUAGAAUUCCACGUGUAGCAGUGAAAUGCGUAGAGAUGUGGAGGAACACCGAUGGCGAAGGCAGCCCCCUGGGUCAAGACUGACGCUCAUGCACGAAAGCGUGGGGAGCAAACAGG
rnacentral:rRNA from 1 species